rnacentral:rRNA from 1 species
AACGAACGCUGGCGGCAUGCCUAACACAUGCAAGUCGAACGAGACCUUCGGGUCUAGUGGCGCACGGGUGCGUAACGCGUGGGAACCUGCCCUUAGGUUCGGAAUAACUCCCCGAGGGGGGUGCUAAUACCGGAUAAUGUCUUCGGACCAAAGAUUUAUCGCCUUUGGAUGGGCCCGCGUUGGAUUAGCUAGUUGGUAGGGUAAAAGCCUACCAAGGCGACGAUCCAUAGCUGGUCUGAGAGGAUGAUCAGCCACACUGGGACUGAGACACGGCCCAGACUCCUACGGGAGGCAGCAGUGGGGAAUAUUGGACAAUGGGCGAGAGCCGGACCCAGCAAGGCCGCGUGAGUGAUGAAGGCCUUAGGGUUGUAAAGCUCUUUUACCCGGGAUGAUAAUGACAGUACCGGGAGAAUAAGCGCCGGCUAACUCCGUG